CCUGAUGUUAGAGGUUUGGAUGAGUGGAUUUGAGAAUGGCUGCAGUGUGUGUUUUUCUACUCAAGUGUCCUCUCGACCGGACGCCGCCCGAGGACACAGAGGAGGAGUGUGACUGUGGUGACGGAAUUCCUGGACCACCCGGACCACCAGGACCAGCUGGUCCACCCGGACCUCCUGGGCUGAAGGGGGAGAUAGGACAGGAUGGACUCCCAGGCCCUGACGGUAAGCCUGGCAUGAAAGGUGAGCAAGGAGUGACGGGGGAGCCAGGUAAAUCAGGGGAGAAGGGGGAAUCUGGUUUACUUGGACCCAAGGGUGAUGCAGGAAUAAGGGGCUACAAGGGUGAUAAAGGACAUGCAGGUUUACCCGGCAGGCCAGGCCUACCAGGACCGAAGGUAAGAUCUGAGCCAGAAUCUUAAAAAACAAUUCUUCUGACUUUUUUUUUCUUUUUUUUUGAAUG
rnacentral:lncRNA from 1 species